rnacentral:rRNA from 1 species
UACGGAGGGUGCGAACGUUAAUCGGAAUCACUGGGCGUAAAGCGCGCGUAGGCGGUCUGUUAAGUGGGAUGUGAAAUCCCCGGGCUUAACCUGGGAAUUGCAUUUCAAACUGGCCGACUAGAGUACGGUAGAGGGAGGUAGAAUUUCCUGUGUAGCGGUGAAAUGCGUAGAUAUAGGAAGGAAUACCAGUGGCGAAGGCGGCCUCCUGGAUCGAUACUGACGCUGAGGCGCGAAUGCGUGGGGAGCAAACAGG